rnacentral:lncRNA from 1 species
GAAAGAGCUUAAGGAGAAGCUCUGACAAGGGAUAGACAGUUUACUUAUGGAAACAAGCAGAAAAUUAAAUCUGGUCUCUGCCCAGCAAGCAUCUCACCUCCCACCAUAGCGUCUGGCAGAGAAGUGAGCCAAGGUGGCCCCUGGCGCAGCAAAUGUUUGGCACAUCCAUUUGCACAGGAGGGGGAAGAAGGCGCAUUCUCAAACACCCUUCCCAUCACCUUUCAGGAUCUUAGGUGCCUUCUCUACAGCCAUGGCACAAACCUUUACCACUAGGGGGCGGCUAGACAUUUCGAUUGGCUACCAGGCAAGCGGCCAGCUCAGGACAGGAGCAGUGCUCUGUGAAAGAAUGGAUUCCUGGUUUGUUCUAAGUACAAACAAGGGGGAAAUGCUUCUGCAGGGUUAAAUGAGGUUGACACGCUCCCCGCGGCUGACCAGACAGUCCCUCCUAACUCUUACCCACCCUGGGCAGCUCUCUCAGCGCGGUGUGGGGCGGGAGUGGGAGCUGAUGGGGGGUGCUCUCUAUUCAGACUCUACUUGUUCUAGACUGAGUCACUGGUGGGGGCAGCGGUGUUUGAAAGUGGGCAUCACUCUUGGGCUCCCACAUUGACUGUAGUUUUACGGAAUGUUUGGCUCUCUGCGUGAUGUUUUUACUUACCAAAGACACAGACCUGGGCUUCCUGGGGUCCCCCUUCUGCAGCUGUGAUAAUCAGCAGUCUUCCCAGGACAGAGUCAGGUUCUGUUGCCCAGGCUGGAGUGCUGUGGCAUGAUCUCGGCUCACUGCAACCUCCGCCUCCCGGGUUCAAGCGAUUCUCCUGCCUCAGCCUCCUGAGUAGCUGGGAGUACAGUGACUCGCCCUGAAUUCUUUCUUGUGUGAGAUCUAAGAACCCUCUCCCGGUGUCUGGAUCAGGACCACUUUUCUGUAACAGUAGGAAAAGGACGUUCUGCUGGUGUCACCUCUCUUAAUCCUUGAGAUCACUGUGAUCAAGUCUUUCUUCCUGCCCAAGACUAGUUUUAGGAGAGGAAGCCCUGCUAUAUCACUUGGGCUGGUGCAACUCACCGCAGGCUCACUGCAUCCUCAAACUCCUGGGCUCAAACGGUCCUCUCACCUCAGCCUCCUGUGUAGCUAGGACUAUUCCCUGCCAGUGUGCCCAGCCUCAAUCUGCUUUUACAAACUGAAAGAUCAUGGGAGAGUCACAUCUUUCUGGGAAGGAGAAUUAGAAGGAGGAAGUAAAUGUCUUCCUUGCCAAAUUGUGGUAAGAGAGAGUGACGAUGUUGUUGGGGUGAAGGUAGGAAGUGAUUUUCUCACUAAGAAGAGGGUCCUGGCCCAUAUUUUUACUUCAGCUGCUCAAAUGACAAGUUUAAAUAAGGAAAAAGAUUCCAAAAAAGGAAUUCAGGAACAUUUCCUGUGGGACCAGGCUGUGCUGCCAUUGAUCACAACUGGCUUUCUGGAGAAUUCUGCUGUGCUUCUGUGAUCUCGUUGUGGGCCUCAUGCUGGAAGCUCUGCUACUCUCCCAGUGGGGACUCCGCUUCUCAUUUCCUGGGCCUUCUGUUCAUGAUUUAUGGAUGAGACAGAGGAUGAUGUUGGCUCCAUCUGGAAAGUGGGUCAGCCAGUCUUUGAGGAGACACCUUGGAGGCCUAGGAAUAGUGCUGUGGAUACAGAUGACAUAAGUUUAGAGACAGAUAGGAGAGUGAAGAAAGGACUUGACCCUCAGAAAGUGAAAUUCAACUUCAGCCUGAAGUGGAACACUGCUCAAGAUAAAGGCUCUGCAAAAUGUACUGUAAAUGAUUCACAACCGUUAAUGCAAAGAUCCAGGUGAAGAAAUAUCCUGAAGAAAAACCCGUCCUGAUCUCAAAUGCUACCCCCAGAGGCCUGCCAGAGCACAGAACUUUCCACAGGCAAAUUGCUGGACCACUGGCUAAGGACAGUAAGAAGGGCUGGCCAUGUUAUUCAGGAGGCAAAGUGUGUUGGCACCUAUGGAGACGUUUGUACCAUUGGCUUAUCAGAUGUGUCAGCCCAGUGACUUGCAAAGGGUGAGGGGUGGUCAUGUAGCCCAUGAGACUCAUUCAUUUGGGGUCAAGACCACAGAAGAAAUGGUAAUUGAUAAUGAUUUAUUUCCUUCCUUUCCCUUCCCUUUCUGUUCCUUUCUUUCAUUUCUUUAAUUGACCUCAGGACCUCUGAUUAACCAUAAUCCUUGGUUCCAUACACUUUCAUCAUUGGUCCAUUUAUGAUCUCAUUUAUUUAAUUAUUUUAAUUAGACAACCAUGAGUCCACCACCUAGUACAAAAACUAGGACAUCGACAAUAUUUUACAUCUAACUCUAUAGUCCUUCCCUUUCUCAUCCUCAUACCUCACUCCACCCAAGGAGCUCAGCCACCUCCCGGAAUCCUGUAUUCACAAUUUCCUUGCUUUUGUUUUUAAAAGUGUGAGUAUCCCACAGUUUAUGUAACUGUUCUCCUGUUGAUGAGCCCUUAUGUUGUUUUUAGGUUUUUCAUAUUUAAAUAGUGAUGUAGCAAUAUUAUUGUACAUAUCACAGGGUAUACCUGUGUGAGAGUUUCUUUUGCGUAUAUAUCGAGAUGGAAAUUGCUCAUAGAGUAGGUGAAUACUUGACAUCACAAGAUAAUGCAAAUUAUCUUCCAAAACAUACUAAUUUUACAUUUCUACCAGCAGAGUACAAUUUGUAGAUCCACAUCCCCUCCAUUUUUCUCCAUGUCCAAUGCCAGUAACUUGGCAUUAUUGGACUUUUAAAUUUUUGUCAGGCAUGUCAGUUUCACUUGUAUCUCACUGUGUUUUGAUUUGCAUUUCCACACUUAGUAAUAUGGUUGAACAUCCCUUUCAUGUUUACUGGUCACAUAUGUUUCUUUUGUUUUGAAAUUUCUGUUCAUGUCUUCUGGUCAUUUUUCAAUUGGGAUAAAAGUACUUUUAUGCUGAUAUGCAGGAACAGUGAUUUUUCUAAAUAAUAAAAAUCUUUCAAAAUUU